rnacentral:lncRNA from 12 species
GUCUUGAAGGAUGCAAGUGGAGUUGUCAGGCCAUGCUUUAGAUGUUGGGUGAAUAAGACAUGCUUCUACUCCCAAUGAAAAGAAGAAAAUAGAAAUGAAGAAACCAUUAUGAAACAACAUGAAAGCACCAUGAGAGGUAUGGAGAGCAGCCAGCAGACGUUAUGCCUGCUUCUUUAUUGAAACCUCCUGUGGCAUCACAAGAGACUCACCGAAAUAUCCGCUAAUGAAAGGCUGGACAGCAAGAAAGAAGUAAUAAGGACAUGUUAUCUCUUUGGCGGUCUUCUAAUAAAAAAAAAAUGAAAGGAAAGUAAGUUCCUUUU